AUGCCCAGCAUAAAACACGUAAAAGAGCCAUAUAAAAUAUUUUAAAUUAUAUUUUUGUUAUGGCUCUUUUACGUGUUUUAUGCUGGGCAU